rnacentral:snRNA from 1 species
AGCUUUGCACAGUGGCAGUAUCAUAGCCAAUGAGGUUUAUCCGAGGUGCGAUUAUUGCUAAUUGAAAGAAGUCACAUAAGGACAAACACC